rnacentral:rRNA from 1 species
AUUGAACGCUGGCGGCAGGCCUAACACAUGCAAGUCGAACGAGUGGCGGACGGGUGAGUAAUGUCUGGGAAACUGCCUGAUGGAGGGGGAUAACUACUGGAAACGGUAGCUAAUACCGCAUACCAUCAGAUGUGCCCAGCUGGGAUUAGCUAGUUGGUGGGGUAACGGCUCACCAAGGCGACGAUCCCUCGCUGGUCUGAGAGGAUGACCAGCCACCCUGGAACUGGGACAGGGGCCAGACUCCUACGGGAGGCAGCAGUGGGGAAUAUUGCACAAUGGGCGCAAGCAUGAUGCAGCCAGGCCGCGUGUAUGAAGAAGGCCUUGGGGUUGUAAAGUACUGUCAGCGGGGAGGCGUUACCCGCAGAAGAAGCACCGGCUAACUCCGUGCCAGCAGCCGCGGUAAUAC